ACGGCGAGUGAAGCGGUAAUAGCUCAAAUUUGAAAUCUGGCUCUUCGAGCCCGAGUUGUAAUUUGUAGAGGAUGUUUCGGGUGCGCCCGCAGUUUAAGUUCCUUGGAACAGGACGUCAUAGAGGGUGAGAAUCCCGUCUUGAACUGUACGGCAAGUCCAUGUGAAACUCCUUCGACGAGUCGAGUUGUUUGGGAAUGCAGCUCAAAAUGGGAGGUAAAUUUCUUCUAAAGCUAAAUAUUGGCCAGAGACCGAUAGCGCACAAGUAGAGUGAUCGAAAGAUGAAAAGCACUUUGAAAAGAGAGUUAAACAGUAUGUGAAAUUGUUAAAAGGGAAGCGUUUGCAACCAGACUUGUUUCUAACAGUUCUACCGCAGUUCUCUGUGGCUUAUUCUGUUAGUCCAGGCCAGCAUCAGUUUGGGUGGCUCGUUAAAGACUUUGGGAAUGUAUCUACUCCUUCGGGUGUAGACUUAUAGCCCAUUGUGUAAUAGGGUCUACCUGGACUGAGGUACGCGCUUUAUUGCUCGGAUGCUGGCGUAAUGGUUGUAAACGACCCGUCUUGAAACACGGACCAAGGAGUCUAACAUCUAUGCGAGUGUUAGGGUGUCAAACCCUUACGCGUAAUGAAAGUGAACGGAGGUAGGAACCCGCAAGGGUGCACUAUCGACCGAUCCUGAUGUCUUCGGAUGGAUUUGAGUAAGAGCAUAGCUGUUGGGACCCGAAAGAUGGUGAACUAUGCCUGAAUAGGGUGAAGCCAGAGGAAACUCUGGUGGAGGCUCGCAGCGGUUCUGACGUGCAAAUCGAUCGUCAAAUUUGGGUAUA
rnacentral:rRNA from 1 species